rnacentral:misc_RNA from 1 species
GAUGAAGAACGCAGCGAAAUGCGAUACUUGGUGUGAAUUGCAGAAUCCCGUGAACCAUCGAGUCUUUGAACGCAAGUUGCGCCCGAAGCCAUCAGGUUGAGGGCACGUCUGCCUGGGCGUCACAUAUCGUUGCCCAAUGCCUAUUGCAGUGCGAUAGGAAUUUCUAGGGCGAAUGAUGGCUUCCCGUGAGCGUUGUUGCCUCGCGGUUGGUUGAAAAUCGAGUCCUUGGUAGGGUGUGCCAUGGUAGAUGGUGGUCGAGUUAGAACGAUACCGAUCAUGUGCAUGCUCCCCAAAAUAUGGCCUCUAUGACCCACACGCGUCUUUUGACGCUCAUGACGAGACCUCAGGUCAGGCGGGGCUACCCGCUGAAUUUAAGCAUAUCAAUAAGCGGAGGA